rnacentral:sRNA from 1 species
CUGGGCUACAAGAGAAGGCGGUGUCUCCAAAAACGAAAAACUGAGCUCACGAGCCGAGGAAACCCACGCUUAAGACAGCUUCAUCGAGAGAAGACUCACCACCCAGAUCAGGGCAUAAACAUGUAAUCGCUAAUGCCAGGUAGAAUUAGACAAAGUGGCUUACAACAGCAUCGACUAGCUGCCAGUUAUUAUGCUCCAUUGCGCAUGAGGGGGAAAAAAACAAGUUGAAGAACGUUAUAGAUAAUAUGUUCUGAAAUGCACAAAGUUUAAUCCGACUGCCCUUAAACCUGCUUGAAUACACGUUUCCAAAAAAGCACCUAGAAAUGCACAAGAGAAGCUGUUAGCUUUUGUUUCUAUUGGUUACACUUUAGUCCUUUCUUCUCUAUUGUAUAAAGUAAGAGAAGAAUAUGUCUUUCCUUUAGGACUUACUUUUGCUUUUCUUACUUCCAGUGGUUCAUGCUGAUGGUCCCGGAUACUCAGGAGGAAGUAGGAGAAAUUUCCAGAGCCCAGGAGUUCACAGAGCAGCCUGAGCAAUCCAUCCACACAGGCUGAGACCCUGAAAACACCUCCCUCCUCUAGCGUGACUGGAUGUCAGGAUUUGGGGCUAAGGCAGCAUUAACUACCCCCAAAACUUCAAUUUUAAAGUAAUUAAGUAGAAAGCUUAGGUUCAAGUCCAACUCGGUUUCCAUGAGUCCACUCAAGCUACCCUGCCCACGUAUGUUAAUCUACAGAAUGAGACUUAAAGUAAAUGCACGAACUACAGUAUCCUCUGAGGGACAAACGGAGGCUGAGUGUGACAUCAUUCUGCGUGGAGUUCUGACUACUUGGUGCUGUUACAGAUGACGACGUAGGGCACUCACACAAAAAAAGAAUCUCUUCCUUCCCAAACCUGCUAUAAAUGCAAAGAAAAUUAGCUAAAGUAAAAAACACGUGACCAAAACGGCUCCUCUAUAGAUGCCCCCAAGUCACUGCCAUGAGUGGCCUUCAGAGCAUCCACACCUCCCUGAUCAACAUCAAUAAGGUCCAAGACAGCUCAGAACCACUUAAAGGUUUAGGAAGCACUGCUCUGGAAGGUUCCCUGAGACCUCGGGAUGCAGUUGUGAAGAGGAAGCCCUGACUUUGAAACCAACUCAGCUCAGACGUGGGCGUGCUUAGUGCAGCCUGUCCCACGGUGUCCGCAUGGUCUGUCAAUAAUCAACGGCGAACCGGUGUUGCUAUUGCUACAUGAGGAAACUCCUCAGUUUGGUGGCUUCACCAGUUUCACCUAACUAAUAACUUAGCAGAAAAAUCACAGGUCAGCGGCCCAGUUUUAUUUGUAAAAGGAAAGAAUCGCCUGUAAGCAUCACCUGUCAAUAAAAAAACCCUAGGGCCAAUGAGCUGAGGCAGGAAAUAGGAGGUGGGAGGGACAAUGGCAGGAAGAGCGGAUUCUGGGAAAUCGUGAGAGACUGAAAGGGAGAUUUACCCAAGGAGACAUAAACUAGCAAGUAGCUGUACUGAGGAUGGAAUAAAAGCCUUACUAUUUGGCCCCAUCUGGCCUGAAAUUCUAUAGACGAAGCCGGCCUCAAAAGCACAUAGACCUGCCUGCCUCUUUCUCCAGAGUGCUGAGAUUAAAGGUGUGUGCCACUAUGCCUGCCUAGCCAUCUGGCUUCUCACGUGGACGCUGGGAAUCCAAACCCUGGUCCCCAUGCUAAAGCAAGUGCUUUGACCAAUGGCGCUCUCUCUCCAUCCUCCUCUCUUAUUCUGAGGUCCUCCCAGCCGGGUUUUUGCUUAGUGCACAGAUGAGCACACAGUAGCAGACUCUGAGGCCACCCACGCUCACACUCAAUCCCUGAGUUUGCCAGAGCCACUGAUGCUUCCUACCUCAAACCUUCCUGACUCACUCCCUGCCUGGGGACUGCAUGGAUCUCCCCAAGAAGGCCCUUGGGGGUAAACCUUAACAGUGAUUCAGCCGUGAAGGGAUGCAGCCUCUAGCUUCCCAGCAGUCCUGGGUCAGUUCUAGUGUGUGUUCAUGCAGGUCCUCCACAAGGGAGCAUGGUCCUGGUUGGUACACACUGAUAUCCUUUGUUAACCUCCCUUCAUUCCCUGCUUCAGUUUCCCCAGGCCUUCACCUGUGCUUCCUGGGGUCAUCUUUCAAGGAAAUCCUCUGUGCCCAAAACCUUGGUAUAGUGUCUACUUUGAGGAGAAAUCUAGUGACCAUACCUCCAUUUGGCUUAAAACUCUAAAGAGAAAAAACACUGAUCAGACUCCCAGACCCUGACACAUCCUAUCUAAGGUAAGAUCAAAGGCAAUGUCUUUUCAGCAAAUCACUCUGACGGCUUGGAAGUCACAGACUGCUUCUGGACCUUCCUUCCCCUCCACGCCGUCUCAGAGAUUUCACCGUGACUUGUUACACUGUUCUGGUCCACCCUGCCCAUAUAUCUGCCCUCAGCCUGAAUUCUGAGGCUGAUCAAUAUUGAAUUUUAAUGCAAUAACGUUCAAAAGAGUCUUGCUGGAAGAUAAUGGCUACUGUUGUCCAAAGACUCUGCCCUGUUGUGAGGCAAGCAUUGAUCUAUUGACAGACCGAAGAGAUUACGAGACUGGCAAGAACUGCCCCGAGGCGCGGGUCAUUACUAUUUCCCCUCCCGUAACACUGUCUCAGCUUUCCUGGAAUAUUAAGCACAGGCAAUCAUAGGCUUCUGCUGUGGUUUUUUUGUUUUUGGGUUUUUUUUUUUCUUAUUUCUUCAUUAAGAUCCACACACGGGCACACCACUUUCAGCUGUCAGAAAUGUAAAAGUGUUGCAGUGCUCCUCCACCAGAAUGUAUUUGGGGCAGGAGGACAAAGGUCACCACUUGCCAGCUGAAAAGUCACUGCUCCCUUUGAACAGGACAGUAGCCACCUUUCUGAACUAAAUGCCCCUUGCCCUUUGCCAACUUUUGCUUCUUUCUUUUCUUUCUCUCUCUCUCCCUCUCUUUUUUUUUUUAACUUCCUUCUCUGGGCAUGGCGCCAAGCACGUAAGGAGGUGACCCACUUUAUCAAUCUAUGAUAAUCUUUUUAAAGCCUCUGCCAUUCCAAACCAAUUUAUUUUUAUAUGGCAUCUUCCAUUAAAAAAUUAUCUCUAAAUACUUUGUCGAAAAAGCAAAAUUAUGAUAAAAAACGGUUUAAGCAUUUAAAAAUGCCUUGGUUGUGAAGAUCAAGAGUUAAGCACGUUUUAACAGUCUCCUGGAAGUUCAAAGCUCUCAACAUUAAGAGUUUUCAUUCUUCUCCGCAGGUCCCGGUUUAGAGACACCAGCAGCGUCGGGGGCGGGACCCGCACUUAGGGUCGGACUGUUCGGAGCAUUAGAGACACUUAAACACCAGAGGGGGGACACAGUAUCACAGCAGACCCCAAAGCCAUUUUGGUCAAGCCUGUUCUGCUGACGGAGUUAACUUUCCCCUGAUCCUCGACAUACUACCUGACCCUACAAAUUUCUUCUCCCGUGACCCUGCUGUGGUCUCUAGGGCACAUUCUCUGUUCCGCCCGCCAAUGCAGCCAUUUCUCUCUCCUUACGUUUUCUAGAAUCUUCUAUCUGUCCUUUGGCUGUGCCAAAAACUUC